GGUUUCACCCUGUUAGCCAGGAUGGUCUCGAUCUCCUCACCUCGUGAUCUGCCCGCCUCAGCCUCCCAAAGAGCUGGGAUUACAGGCAUGAGCCACUGCGCCUGGCCUUGUUUUACUUUUUAAAAUUUCUGUGAGCUGCUCUAGAAAACUAAAGGACGAAAACUUUACUGUCAUAAUUCCAAGUUCAGUCAGGGAUUUCUCAGAAUUGAGGUGUGCAGCAUCCAGAUUCCCCUUUAUGUGGAUAGGGAUCCCUGUGCCAUGUCUUGCACUUACCUAAGAACUAUAGGAAUUCUCCAUGUACCUCCUACAGUUUUUCUAGCAGUGUUGGACAAUGGAUUCUAAAGGUUCCUGAGACUUUGUUAAAUUUCUCAUAAUUCCAGAGGGAAGGCCAAAAUAUUGAGAAUACUCAAUGAUAGGAUGAGUUUCCACUCUACUUCCUUAUCCUCAAGGCACACACCAGAGUUCCACUGGGUGAGGACAGGGAAGUAGGAUGUCCCAACACCCUCUGAGGGUUUUCAUGCAUUAAUCCCGCCAUAUGGGCUGAUGGUUGGAACUGCCUUUAGUUCUCUAAGUAAAGGUCUAAAAAUGCACCUGUGGUUUCUGAACUUGGGUAUACGCUGAUACAUAAGGACUACCAUAGAAGUUACAUGCCUUAAUCCUGUAAUACUUUUGUGUGGUAUCAUUCUGCUAAUAUAUUGUCCACAGGGCCAAACCCCAAGUUACACAGCGCAACAGUACUUGUCAACCACUCCAUCUCCUCAGUGACACAGGUGCUAAAGUACCUCUCCCCUGAGGCAAAGUCCCGACACAUCUGUGAUUGAAUGCAACUAUAGAAGUAUUAGCAUAAAAAUAUGUGGCCUGGAAGGAAUCUCUGAAGAUACUGAAGAACCUCAAGUUCCCUACAUUGCUAGGAGCCAAGGGAAGGAGACACUGUACACCUAGAGCGCUGAAUUAGCAGCUGAGGUUUUAGUAUUUGAAAGCAAAUAAUAUAAAGCGAGUAAUGUCUACAGUGGGUCUCAGUUACCAUUUGGCUACUUAUUUAGGACUCGAUUAACUUGGCAACUUUUACAAAAAACAUUCACAUCACAACAUGCAACUUAAAAAACAGUUAAUGUAACUAUGCCACUGUCAGCAAGGCCAGCUUGCAUACCAGAGUUAAGAAUGAGAGUGUCUGUCUGCCUAGGGCUUAACAUUCAAAGAUAUUUAUAAUCUGUGUUUUAAGGUUAAAUUUUAUAUGACCCAGUUUUCCUUCUUUGUUCACUAUACACUAAAAUUAAACGCCUCUACGCUGUGCAAGAAAUCACUAUGUGUGAUUUUACUAUUUCAACCAAUCCAUAGACCCUGAGGAUUUGGCAGCAGAAUUCAGGAGAAAUGCUACCUAAAGUGAUUGAGCUGUUGCUAAUUCUACCUUCUGUUCCACUCAAGUACCUCCAGGGACUAACAAGGGAAGGCAAGGGCAACUGUGACUGACUAGGUAACCAGCUAUUCUGUUGUGACAGAAGAAACCAGGUAAUACUUGAUUUUCAAAAGAUAAUUUUAACUGCUGCCCUAUACUACUUUUAGUAUAGUUUGGCUUGACCUUAAUAGCCAUGUCCCUCAUCUUAGAUAGAAUAACCAAAUUGGUUUAAAAUUACUUGAUCUAUGUCACUGAAACCUGAAAUAUGCCAUCACUAAGAGAACCCCCAAAUAAAAAAUAAAGAACUAAAAAACACAACCAAACCAAAUCAAACCAAAAACCUCAUUCUCUGUAUCAUACUUUAAAACUAAAAUAAAAAUCCCUGUGUCACAGGUGCUUGCUCAGGGCUGCCAACUUCUAUUUUUCACCUGAGAGACAUCUAAAAGCGCAAACUAUGCUUGUAAAAACCAAAAAGUAAAUCUCUACAUAGGACAAUACUUAUAAGCAGACCUAUUGAUACCACUUAUAUAUAAUUAGUCUGUUUUCUUUAGAAAGUAUCAGAGCAGAAACGUCUUUGGUUAAUUCUUUCCUCUACAUGCAAAAUAAAAUAUUCUUAAACGA
ensembl:lncRNA TTBK2-AS1 TTBK2 antisense RNA 1